rnacentral:rRNA from 1 species
GAUGAACGCUGGCGGCGUGCCUAAUACAUGCAAGUCGAGCGAACAGACGAGGAGCUUGCUCCUCUGACGUUAGCGGCGGACGGGUGAGUAACACGUGGAUAACCUACCUAUAAGACUGGGAUAACUUCGGGAAACCGGAGCUAAUACCGGAUAAUAUAUUGAACCGCAUGGUUCAAUAGUGAAAGACGGUUUUGCUGUCACUUAUAGAUGGAUCCGCGCCGCAUUAGCUAGUUGGUAAGGUAACGGCUUACCAAGGCAACGAUGCGUAGCCGACCUGAGGGGGUGAUCGGCCACACUGGAACUGGGACACGGUCCAUACUCCUACGGGAGGCAGCAGUAGGGAAUCUUCCGCAAUGGGCGAAAGCCUGACGGAGCAACGCCGAGUGAAUGAUGAAGGUCUUCGGAUCGUAAAACUCUGUUAUUAGGGAAGAACAAAUGUGUAAGUAACUAUGCACGUCUUGACGGUACCUAAUCAGAAAGCCACGGCUAACUACGUG